rnacentral:rRNA from 1 species
GGGGAAUAUUGCACAAUGGGCGCAAGCCUGAUGCAGCCAUGCCGCGUGUGUGAAGAAGGCCUUCGGGUUGUAAAGUACUUUCAGCGAGGAGGAAGGUGUUGAGGUUAAUAACCUCACCGAUUGACGUUACCCGCAGAAGAAGCACCGGCUAACUCCGUGCCAGCAGCCGCGGUAAUACGGAGGGUGCAAGCGUUAAUCGGAAUUACUGGGCGUAAAGCGCACGCAGGCGGUCUGUCAAGUCGGAUGUGAAAUCCCCGGGCUCAACCUGGGAACUGCAUUCGAAACUGGCAGGCUAGAGUCUUGUAGAGGGGGGUAGAAUUCCAGGUGUAGCGGUGAAAUGCGUAGAGAUCUGGAGGAAUACCGGUGGCGAAGGCGGCCCCCUGGACAAAGACUGACGCUCAGGUGCGAAAGCGUGGGGAGCAAAC